UCCCUGAUAGUUCAGUUGGUAAAGAAUCUGCCUGCAAUGCAGGAGACCUGGGUUCAAUUCCUGGGUUGGGAA
rnacentral:tRNA from 1 species